rnacentral:rRNA from 1 species
UACAGGGGGUGCAAACGUUGUUCGGAAUUACUGGGCGUAAAGCGAGUGUAGGCGGUCCGAUAAGUCGGAUGUGAAAGCCCCUGGCUCAACUGGGGAAGUGCACCCGAAACUGAGCAGCUAGAGUACGAAAGAGGGUCGCGGAAUUCCCGGUGUAGAGGUGAAAUUCGUAGAUAUCGGGAGGAACACCGGUGGCGAAGGCGGCGACCUGGGUCGAUACUGACGCUGAGGCGCGAAAGCGUGGGGAGCAAACAGG